UGCAGCCGAGCGGUAUUCUGGAUUUAUUCAGGAGAGAGCGGCGUACGGGUGCGUAACACGUGUGCAACCUACCUUUAUCAGGGGAAUAGCCUUUCGAAAGGAAGAUUAAUACUCCAUAAUAUAUUAGAUGGCAUCAUUUGAUAUUGAAAACUCCGGUGGAUAGAGAUGGGCACGCGCAAGAUUAGAUAGUUGGUGAGGUAACGGCUCACCAAGUCGAUGAUCUUUAGGGGUCCUGAGAGGGAGAUCCCCCACACUGGUACUGAGACACGGACCAGACUCCUACGGGAGGCAGCAGUGAGGAAUAUUGGACAAUGGGUGAGAGCCUGAUCCAGCCAUCCCGCGUGAAGGAUGACGGUCCUACGGAUUGUAAACUUCUUUUGUAUAGGGAUAAACCUCUCUACGUGUAGAGAGCUGAAGGUACUAUACGAAUAAGCACCGGCUAACUCCGUGCCAGCAGCCGCGGUAAUACGGAGGGUGCAAGCGUUAUCCGGAUUUAUUGGGUUUAAAGGGUCCGCAGGCGGGCCGAUAAGUCAGUGGUGAAAUCUCGUAGCUUAACUAUGAAACUGCCAUUGAUACUGUCGGUCUUGAGUAAAUUAGAGGUAGCUGGAAUAAGUAGUGUAGCGGUGAAAUGCAUAGAUAUUACUUAGAACACCAAUUGCGAAGGCAGGUUACCAUGAUUUAACUGACGCUGAGGGACGAAAGCGUGGGGAGCGAACAGGAUUAGAUACCCUGGUAGUCCACGCCGUAAACGAUGCUAACUCGUUUUUGGGGCUUUACGCUUCAGAGACCAAGCGAAAGUGAUAAGUUAGCCACCUGGGGAGUACGUUCGCAAGAAUGAAACUCAAAGGAAUUGACGGGGGCCCGCACAAGCGGUGGAUUAUGUGGUUUAAUUCGAUGAUACGCGAGGAACCUUACCAAGACUUAAUGGGAAAUGACAGGUUUAGAAAUAGAUCCUUCUUCGGACAUUUUUCAAGGUGCUGCAUGGUUGUCGUCAGCUCGUGCCGUGAGGUGUUAGGUUAAGUCCUGCACGAGCGC
rnacentral:rRNA from 1 species